CCCAGGGUCUUUCUUAUGCAUCUGGAAGCAGUUCCCAAAGACGAGUGCCACUGGGGUCAGAUAAGUCCGCAGAGAAGAUGCUGGGCCCUGGAGGCCCAGAGUCCAGCGGUGGACCGCCACUCAAGGCCUCUAGCCAGUCCAAGGAAUCUGAUGUCAUCGAUGUCCCGAUUCGGAAGCAGCUGUGGAUGAGCACACGCUCUGUGACCCUGGGUCCUGCUUAGCUCCUCCUCCAGAGUCAGGCUGGCUGGAGUUGUUGGAAAGGGAGUUGGAAGAGCCGGAGCCGAAGCUGGAGCGGGAGCCUGAACCGGCGCGGGAGCCGGAGCUGGAGCAGCCCCCAGGGGAUCCGCAACUUCAGAAAACUGCAGCCUACGAGUCGUUGCACUUGUCUUUACCUAGAACCAGGAAAGGUGGGAGUUUCCUAAAUCCGGUACAUCGGGCGUGGCUCUGCCCGCCCCCCCCCACCCCGCCCUAACACAAUCAAUCCUUCCUUAAUUUCACCCCAAUACUUUGUAUUUUUUUAACAUUUU